ensembl:lncRNA
CAUGCAGCUUCUGUUAAUCAUCCAUGGUUGAGGCAAGUGGUUAAGGCCUUUGGCUUUGGAAGCCAAAAAGAAGGCAAUGAAAAUGGGGCAGAGUUCAGAGCAGGGAAGCAGUCUCAGCAUGCAAUCCUGUGUGUGUCAAGGGUUGUCACAAAAGCAAGACUGAUUCAUGGUUCCAUUCAUUCCUCUGGCCAUUCACGCUUCACUCCUUUAGCUCUCCCCAGUGUCAUCAGCAGGUCAGGAUCUGGACAGGCAGGGCAGCCUUGAGGAAUAGUACACAGACCUGCAGGACAAGUGAAGGUUGCACAGUCUUCAAGAUGGGGCUGGGAGUAUGGAGAAAAGUGGGAUAGAAACCUCAACAACCCUGUUUCUGGCCCAAGUCACCGGAGAGCUGCUGCUGUCGGAUGCAGGGGCAAGUUCAAGACAGAGGAUUGGUUCAGAGUUUCAAUCACCCCAGCUGUGUUUCAUUCUAACACAGAAGAGAUGGAGAGAGACAAGGAGAGAGCCUGUCACAAGGAAAGCCCUUCUCUGCCUUUGCCCGUACUCUUGCCAACUUGAGUAGCACCUAAUGAAUGCCUUGCACCGUGGCUACAUCUGCUUCCUCCACACCCUUCCCAUGGCUGCCCUGGAGGCUUGUAGAAGCACAUGCUUUUCGGGGAGGAGUGGAGAGAGAAUUGUCAGAGGUCAUACUUGAAGGUACUCAAUGUUUCCUGAUACAUACAACACGGUGGCCACUGAGACACUACCAACUCCACAUGGACAGGAGCAGAUCAGUGGGCAGAGGCCCCCAGGACCUCGACAAGAAUGCUUCCUCUUAGCCCAUGGAACUGGGUGGCCAGGGGAUGCCUCUGCUGGCUGGCCUCAGCUCCCCAUGAGAGGUUAGAGUUCUGGAGACAAAUGUCAGAUCAGAAUCCCUGUAGAAGGGCCUCUUGACCUUGAGUGAGGAGUGGUUGAGAGUUUCCCGGAAACCAAGCCCCCAACUAAUGGUCCCACUCUCUUUUCUAAUAAAUACGUGGCCCUGGGCCCGGCUCCCUUCUCUGCUUUGUCAUGAGGGACCUGUUAUUUAUGACUUGGGAGUGACUCACAGGCCUUGGCAGGGAGCUAACGGUUCUGGGCCCAAUGUAUUUUUCCACUCAGUAGCAAAUGAAGGAGGAGCUUGUAAAUUCUGCCGUCAGAACGACUGUGUAGGUAUCUUUUCAGAUGCUCCUCCUGGCUUGGCCAUAAAUCUUUUCCCUGGUAGAUGUUCCCGGUGGUCUUUGGCAGCUGCUGGGAGAGUGGGUGGGGGCUCUUCCAGACUCUGGACUCAGCUCCCCAGCCACACAAGUAACUCUGUGCCCAAGGAACUGCCACAGCCUCUCUGAAGAUUUCCCCCAGGCAAAUUGGGUGCAAAGUGAGCUGGGAGAGAUGACAGAGUCAGUACAGUGAGUCCCAGAGAAGGAAAGGAUAGAACAUGGGAGAAAGGUAAUAACAUAGUGGUGUGUUGCUGGCAUCUGUGACCCACAGGGUUCAGUCAGUCCCUCCCAACUCUCUGUGCUGGGCCCAUCAUCAACCAUCCAAGACCACCCUGGGCAAGCUACACUCAACCAGGCUUCAUUGACUUACUUUUCUCCAUGCCCCAAGCCCACUCAGAAAGCCAAGUGCCAGGCAGAGUUGCAUAGCUCACUUAUUUUUCUUACAGAUUAGUAGCUCCCAAAGAGUCUUUUCUAUUUACCCAACAACCAGGCACUUGACGGGUCUAGGAAAACUGUCAAAAACUACACACUGAGAGUCUGCCCUUCGUACAGACUAGUAACAUAGCCAGCCAGUUUUCCAGAUCCCAAAAGAAACCCAAGACCUUAGACUUCAGAAACAAGUGUGUGUGUGUGUGUGUGUGUGUGUGUGUGUGUGUGUGUGUGCCAGUUUCAUACAGAGCCAGGGUUACCUGCUUGUACACUGUGAGGGUUGCAUCAUGGGAGGCCCCUGGAGCUGGUGGGACCUGGAUCUUUUGUAAUAGUCAUAAGUAAAUCUAAGCUCUGGAAGAUGUUACCUUUGGUAAACAGAACUGCUGUGUCUUCUCAAGCUAUGAACUGUACAAAAGCCAUGGAAAGGGAGCAAGGUGCAGGGGAGCUGGGUCUGUUGUUGGCAGGAAGCACAGAAAUGGGAAACCCCAGGGGACAGGAGACCUAUGUCCUAAUGAUCUUGCUUUUAUUUGUCUCCUAGUGACCAUUUCCAGCACAACGCUCCAUCCCAGAGACUCUAAAAUCUUGAUUGCAUCUCAGAGUCUUAUGGAGGUUGAGGCAAAAGCAGGCUGUAGCCCUCUAUAAGCAGACCCAGCUGUAUGCCCGUGACUCUAAUCAGAGGAACUAGGGAUUGGAUGCUCCCUAGAGUAGUCCCUUGUCAAAAGACACUAAGGAGGAGAAAGUGAAAUACUUUCCUCAUUCUCUGUGACUGAAACAUCUCCUAUUGUCUCCAUUCUCCCUACUUGAUGCCCAGUCAAGCCCCAGUAGCUAUGCUUGGUAGGUGCUCAGUUCUGUCCCCUCCCCUGACGCCACCCUUUAUGGGCUUCUCUUUCCUCCCAUUCUCACGUCUGUACUCUCCCAGAGCCUUCCCAGGAACACUCAAGCCCUCGUCUCUGUGAACCCUAUCCCAGGACACAGCACAUGUGACUUAAGACAUAACCUAAGUUAGCAUGGACACCCACCACAUUUGAAAAGGUCACGUGUGCUGUGCUCAAAAUGCAAGGAGUAAAAAGUGAAGCUUGGGAACAGUGUUUCUGAAAUACAUAAAAUUUAACAGUUAUUCCUUCCAAGAAGGAUGGCUCAAAGAGGGUAGGAGUGGAAAUAUGGCAUUGAGGGGUGCAGAUGGGGGGUCACCCUAAUCCAGACCCUGUGGGAGCUCCCAGUAACACAAUGACUGAAAUGAGAGAAGACAACAAGGUGUCAAGGUAGGGUCAUUGGUCAGUUAAAGUUUGCCCUUGGGGGAUGGAGAGAUGGCUCAGCAGGUCAAAGAGCUUCCUGCUCAUAAAGAGGACUCUGGUUCUAUUCUCAGCACUCACAGGGCAGUUCACUUGCAUAUUCCAGUCAAGGCAAGAGAAAUAAGCUUAGCUUAGAGAACAGAACUUGAAAGAAAUACUGUCAACUAACAUAUGCAAAAAAAACUGGGACUUCCGGACAGAGACAGAGCUCCAUAAAGGUGACAGAGUUUGUUAACCCUGCAAAGAAAUCACAAUAGAAUAUUGGAUCUUCUUGUGCAUGCUAGGGGGUGCUCCCCCCAGGAGCCCCUGCAGGAACAUCUGCUUGUCUAGUUCUAGCAGAGGCUGCCAUCAGUCAGGUGUACACAGUAUCAGGUCUUUGUUUUGGGUUUUGCCAUACACUUUUUUUUUUUUUGAGACUGAGGUUCUUCAUAGUCAGGGGUUCACAGAUUCAGCUAAACUGUCUGGUCAGUGAAGUCCUGAGAUCCUCCUGUCACUGCCUUCCCAGCACUGGGAUGCAAGUGUGCAUUGCCCUUUCCUUUUUACCUGAGUUCAAGCUGUGUGGCAAGCACUAUACCAAUUGAGAUAUCUCUUCAACCGCCACACACGUUCUUAAUCUUCACAUCCUCUCCAGAGCAGCUUGUUGUACCGUGGUACUUAGGAGGUGCUGAGGAGUUCUGUGUUUUGCACAGGAAUAAGAGCCAGUGUGUGAGGGCCGCAGGCUGGGCAGACAUGGACAUGCAUAGAGUUAGUUCCCCCUAAGCAUAAGCUCAAUCAGACCUGACAGCCAGAUGUCUGGACUGGUGACGUCAAGGCUUGGGACAAGGGCUGGGGGACAGCCAAGCUCUGGUUGGUAGCCCCCACCCAGACAGUUUCCCAUGAGCUAGGAUCCACAUGGGAGGCAAAUGAAAGACUGUGACAGUGCCUCCCUGCUGAGGGUACCCUGCUGAUGGGUCUGGGCUAGGAGCUGGUCUUUGUACAUCAAAAACAGGCCAAUGUUUAUGGGUUGCUGGGUCUAGACUUCAGCUUCAGCUUCAAGAAAGCAAUCCUUCCUCCUUACCUGAGGAUCCCAGAGACUAUCCCAUGCCAAAAUGCCUCCCUCCCCUCUCUUCCCCUCUCCUCCCCCUCCUCCCCUCCCCUCUCUUCUUCUCCACCACAACACUCUCUGUUCAGCCAGCACCAAGGGACAGUCCCCUUCCUCUGUGAUCUGUCCCAUGGGACACCUUUCUUCCCUCUAAAACCUGUCCCUCAGUACACACACCCAAACUGACCUCAUUAUGCCCCUACCUGCAUGGGGAGUAGGGGGUGCCGAGGUCAUCUUCAUCUUCAUUCCUGUCCAUCUUACUUUGGGAAACCUGGAACUCACAGAUUAGGCUGGACAGGAUGGCCAGCCAGCAGUAGAAGUUCCCCCAUCUUCACUUCUCUGUGUCACCACACCAUCCCUGGCUUUUCAUGUGGUUCUGGGGAAUUGAACUUGGGUCUUCCUGCAAGGCAAGCAUUUUGCCAACUGAGACAUCUCCCCAUCCCCAACCACUUCACUUCCUGAAUAUUUUGCUUAACGAGCCAGGCAAAGUCUCAGGUCAUGGAUUAAGCUAGUCUCUUGUGAUGUCCUUGAGCUAUGACAUGUCUUCUCUAGCAACCCUUGGAUUCUCCAGAUGUUUGGUGUCCACUACCUGCUGGCCACCAGCAUUGAGACUUCUCCUGGGGAAGGUGAGGGUCAGUUGCUCAACUCCAUUGUAAACAAAAGCACUAAUUAGUCUGAGGGAAAGAGGGAAAGGAGAAUGACUAAAUCACGCCCAGCUCCAGAAAUAGCUGUGGAAAGGCUUCUCAAUCCAGGAGCUAGGACAGAUGUGAUAAGCAACUACAGCUCACAGAAUAGUAAAUUGCCGGUUGCUGAUAGCAAACAUGGGAAUGAAGCUGUGACCAAAUGCACAGCAACUUCCACUGGCUGGACACUCACUGAUUUAGCAAGAAUAGGGACUGAGGAUAUGGGUCUGAGUGAGAGAAAACACCUGGACUCUAUCCAACCUGGUGGGGGCUACACCCUCUGCUUGGAGACAGAAUGGGGCAGGCCCAGCUCCUCUCUUGGCAAUAGUGAUGGGAUUGAACAGAAGCAAAGACGUGU